ensembl:lncRNA
GGGGGCAGAGAGGAGAGACAGGGGCAGAGAGGAGAGACAGGGGCAGAGACAGGGGCAGAGGGGAGAGCCGGGGCAGAGGGGGAGAGACGGGGGCAGAGGGGAGAGACGGGGGCAGAGGGGAGAGACUGGGGCAGAGGGGAGAGACUGGGGCAGAGGGGAGAGACUGGGGCAGAGGGGAGAGACAGGGUCAGAGACAAGGGCAGAGAGGAGAGACAGAGGGGAGAGACAAGGGCAGAGACAGGGGCAGAGAGGAGAGAGACAGG